rnacentral:siRNA from 1 species
ACAAAGAUGUGCUUCAUAAGUU